rnacentral:sRNA from 1 species
UAGUGUAUUAAUACCUAGGUUGACGUC